rnacentral:rRNA from 1 species
AUGUCUAGAUCAUGUCAGUUCUCGAGUCUUUUUUUUUUCUCUUCAAAUAAUUCCUAUGUCGUCUCUACUAUUACCAAACAUCAACUGUCACUCGCAGAUUAUGCGACUACACGAAAUGUUUCCAUAUGCUUUGCAAUUGAUUCAAUCAGCAAUGAAACAUUUGAAACGUUGAAUAGAGCUCAGUUACUUUUAUCAUGCAUUCUGCUGGCGCCUCACUGCCUAGUGUUUUACCAGUUUCCUCCCUGGGUUGAGCAUUUAUGUUGUUGUUUAUUUUAUCGACUCUGCAUUUGUGCCACUUGCUUCACCGUUGUGAGAUCGCCGCCACAAUGGAAAGCCAAAUUACUAGACAAAUCCAGGGCUGAUAUGAAUUUUCACCUGAAUUUCGAUGUGCAGAUAAGAUAA